AGUAACACGUGGGAACGUGCCUUUAGGUUCGGAAUAACUCAGGGAAACUUGUGCUAAUACCGAAUGUGCCCUUCGGGGGAAAGAUUUAUCGCCUUUAGAGCGGCCCGCGUCUGAUUAGCUAGUUGGUGAGGUAAAGGCUCACCAAGGCGACGAUCAGUAGCUGGUCUGAGAGGAUGAUCAGCCACAUUGGGACUGAGACACGGCCCAAACUCCUACGGGAGGCAGCAGUGGGGAAUCUUGCGCAAUGGGCGAAAGCCUGACGCAGCCAUGCCGCGUGAAUGAUGAAGGUCUUAGGAUUGUAAAAUUCUUUCACCGGGGACGAUAAUGACGGUACCCGGAGAAGAAGCCCCGGCUAACUUCGUGCCAGCAGCCGCGGUAAUACGAAGGGGGCUAGCGUUGCUCGGAAUUACUGGGCGUAAAGGGAGCGUAGGCGGACAUUUAAGUCAGGGGUGAAAUCCCGGGGCUCAACCUCGGAAUUGCCUUUGAUACUGGGUGUCUUGAGUAUGAGAGAGGUGUGUGGAACUCCGAGU
rnacentral:rRNA from 1 species